ensembl:lncRNA
CCCCCAGCUUCUCCUAGAUGGCUGCAAUCCCACAGCUGCCCCUGCUCCAGCUUACAGGACAUCUCAAGGAUCCAGUGACAUUGCAUGGGUGGUUCGUUAGUACACACUAGACAUCACUCUGUGACCCAGCACCCGGGUUCCUUUCUGGGUCCCUGCUGGAUUCUGCAGGCCUCCCCCUGGGUGAGCGCCCCACCCCCAACGGCCCAGUUUACUGUUUACUGAUUUCGUUACCUCUGGUAGAGGUGAGAGAGUUUGCAGACUUGCGCCGUGAACACCCAGAUGUGUCCAAGACCCUUGCAUAAAAAAGACUGCAUUCCGGGCCCUGGGAGAACUCGGCAAGGGUCAGAGGGGAUGGGCGAGCAUUUGGACACCACUGCUAAUAGAGGAGCAGUGAGCAGAGCAGGAGUUUCCAGCUCAACAGGGACACAACUCGCCAGUCACGUCCUUGCAUCUGUUAAGGCUGCGGAUGGUCUUUCCUGCCCAGGGCAGGGGCCCCAUAGGAAAGCUCUGAAGACAGCUCUAACCAGAGUUCCAGACCUUGUCCGUGAGCCCUGGCCCCCAGUGCACUACCAUCCAGAGCCACACAACUCAACCCAAGGUUUCCAGCCACGUCAGAGGUGCGGCGUCCCUCUCCAGGCUGCCACCCAAUGUCCUCUAGGAAGGGAGGCAGGACACCCCGUCUACCUGUUGGGUUGGUUUCUCUGGUGUCAGACGCUAGCAGACACCAUGCAUCACACAUAGGGGAGAGAUCUGGGGAUGAGAAUGGGAGAUUCCUAUGCUCACACAUGGAUGAAAAGAUUCUGCUUCUUGCUAUCACCUGAGACGGUGUCUUAAAGUCAGCACCCUAGCCCCAGACAUGCCAGGACCCCUUGUCUCAUGUGUUCCUGCUCUCCCCUCUGCCUGCCCAGGCUCUCAGGCCCCCUCUCCAGUGCCAUCAUAAGCACAGCAGGGGCACUGGAGGGAGGGGACACCCAUUCUAGGGGCCGUGUACAGCUGCUGCACCCCAUGUCUGGAAGCAGGCAUGGCUGUCCUGCCCUCUCCUUCCCCAUGCUGCCCCUUCCAGUCCAUCUGCAUACUCCCUGCCCUCACCCUGACUCUGCCCAGUCUGCUCGUAGUAAGGCCUGCAUCACAGGACCCACACCAGCCUCACCUGCCCUUAGUGGGCGCCUCCUCCCAACUCUUGUAAAAGAACAAGCCUCUCUCUGCAGGGAAGGACAAAGACACUUGGCAUCUGGGGGGGGGGGGCUCAGCCACAGCGCAUGUCCACGUCUCCCUUCCACCUGACAGUGGCACCUGACCCCCACUUGUGAGUUCUCUCCCCUCAGAGUUCUCCAACUUACUCCAUAGUGACCCACUCCCUGCCCUCAGGCCCAGUCUCACACCACCAACUCAUAAAACAAUACGGAACUGCUUUUCAUCGCAAGAGCAACCUGGUCCUUCAUCUAAAAUGGUGGCUUAGACGGUUCCCACGGCUCUUCUUAGAGACUAUGGUUCACUCAGCAGGGAAGGUUUGUCAUAGCCUUCAAAACUCAGCUUAAACGUCAUCUUCCUCCAGUGGGGUCCCUGUGUAUCUUUCUGUCAUUCUGAGCCUGUCCUGCUUUUCAAAACGGUGUACGCGUGGACUGUGGCCGCGGGCAGUUUGUCCUGACAAAUUGUGUCUCCCACUUCCAUUUCAGAACUCUAAACGGGAGUGGCCUAAAGGUACCAGUCACAGGUAGAGACUAGCACCAUGGAUUAAAAUGCAGUAAGACCUAACCACGUGUUGUGUACAAAAAAGCCGACUUUCAAUAGGGAAACACAAGCUAAAGGAAAAGGGGUGGAGAAAGGUGCCGGGUUUGCUCACACGAAUCAAAAGCCAAGCAGCUAAAGACGCAUCAAGCAAAGCAGCCAUCACAGUGAGGCAAAAGACCGUGGACAAACAGGCUUCCCCUUUGGCUCAAAGCCAUAGCGCCCCCAAGUCUACACCGCCGAGGAGAGUGCGGAGGAGGCAAAUCCAGGUACAUUUGCAGAAGAAGCGGACAAGUUCUCUACUGCAAUUGGAGACUCAGCCCUCCCCUCUUACUGAUAGACGAAGACAGAAAGGCAGGAGAACCUCAUAGACAGGCAGAGCCUCCCUCACCCACCACCCGUCACCGUCACCAUCCACACAGCCCUGCAGUGAGCAACAGGAGAAUCUACAUCAAGAGCACAUGGAACCUUCCCAGUAAAGCAGGCGGACUCCAGAGAGGGCGCUGAGGGCAGAACUGCGCAUGCGCGCAGGACAGGCGCGAGACCCAGACCACCACCUUCAGCCUCUGCCACAGCGGAGAGACGCUGUGCCUUCCUGACCCGGCCUUGAAAGUCCCACUAUUCUAUUGACCUCUCGGGCAGCCAUGGUUUGUGGAGGAAGAUGGCAUUGGGGUGGGACUAUUUGAGGUGAACACCUGGAAAUAUCUUGGGAAUCAUCAUCUUCCAUUUCUCAGGACACUGGCUGAGCGCCAGGCCCCAUGCUGGCACUGUCCACUGACCAUUUAUCUCACGGAGUCACUGGGGCUCGUCCUUACCCGCUUCCUUCUCUCCAAAACGUUUUCCACGCAAGCCUUGAGCGCUGUCUCUAGCACAGUGCGCGCUCGCGACCCUUUCUGUGUCGGGGCCAGUGUCCCAAGUGUGUGCUGUCCUCUAGACACAAGUGUGGCUGAGGAACUAAACUGUAGUUUACCCUGCCCACCCUGUUGGUAUUCUGUCUAAGCUCCACCUCCAUCUAAGCUAGCACCAUCCCCAGGCCUCCCCCUCCUCCCUUCCUCAUUGCUGUAGCUCCUGGUUUGUGCCUGUGAAAAGCAGGUCUGACCCCGAUCCUAAGGAACUCUGUCUGUGAGGCCUACUUUCCCACGCGUGUGCAACACCUAAGACCCUCAGACAAGCAAGCUCUCCCUUUCUGUCCAGGACUUUGCUCCAGCGUGCUCACACGGCCACCUGUGCACAGUGCCUCAGCUGUGCACACCAGUGUCCCAGCUGCGCGCGCACACACACACACACACACACACACACACACACGUUCACGCCUCUCCCUUGCUCUACGGAUCUUAAAGAAUGUUCGUGUCGUUAACUCAUGUUGUUAUCUCUUCUGUAAACUUAUAAGCUACAGGAAACCCACUCAGACCAACUUCUCAUGGACCAAAUAGACUCCAUCCAGAUAAGUACAUGUGCCUAAAGUUCCCACUUACUACCUAUUCCAAAGGGUGGGAUUCCUCUGGGUUUCAAAUGUACAUCAAAGAAAAUUUUUCUUUUCUCCCAAAUGUGCUUAAUCUCUGCCUGUAAUAAAUAUAUAUAUGUGUGUGCCAGCAUCUUGUCAAGUCCAGGUGCUCAGUUACUUGACAUGGGAUUCGCUGCCUCCUGAAGCCCUUGCAAAGCAAGGGCUCCACACUUACAGGAAUGGUCAGGGGCGGGGAGGGGGUGUCUAUAUUCCUUUGCGUUCUUAGAGAUGUCUGCGACUGAACAUAGAAGACAAGGAGGAAGGCCAUGGGCGCUAUUAAGGAGAAAGGACAGUGAAUGAGGUCAAUGUCGUGGGCAGAAGGUUCUAGAGACUAAUGGCUGACAUCCCGUCCCGGUCACAGCUACGGAAUCGGACUGAUGGGAAACUAUCGAGACCAGACACCUCCAUCCAUCCCUGCUGCGGGGUGAAGGGGUCCAGGCCCCCGAUGAGGACUGCAGACAUGAGGGGACACUGGCAGUGCCUUGAGGUGAAUACUGUAGAAUAGCACCAUCCACGGAGCAGCAGGGCCCGGAGUUCUCCCCCUGCUCUUGGUCCCCGGGACCACCUCAUCAACACCACUGCUCCUAAAACUCAGAUCACUUGGCAACGGUGAAGACUCAGAAAGAGCCCGUCUGUGUGUCAGCCUCCUCUGCCCUACCCUUUCCUCUCUCAGGAGUUCUGGCCUGUGGUGCCUCUUUCUCACAUUUAUGACUCAUCGUGUGGGAUCUAGGGAUCUGGUCCAUCCGGACACUUGACCUCCUGGAAAGACAGCGAGAUCACUGCCUCUGCAGAGACAAUCUUGCUUAUCGGUGCCCUGUUUUGGACGCCAGGCUACGACACAGAGUAGGAGCAGCCCUUCCCAGCUGGGUGGGCUCUUCAUGGGGACAAGGGCAGGACAGCUGCGGGGGGUCAGCAUUUAUGUCAAGGUUCAGGAGAGGGCCUGGGGCACCGGGUGCUCUGCGUAUGAGCGAGUGCGUUCUGCCUUCCGGAUAGGAAGGUGAUUCUGUGACGUGCUUCUCCACCGCCUCUUCCUGGAGACAGCAAAGGGUGGACCGGGUGAGGAGGGGUGAAGGGCAGGGAGAGAGUGUGAUGAGGGUGUGGUGAGCAGAGGCAAAGGACUCCCACUCCCCCACCUCUCCCUCGGCUUUCAAUUUGAGGAAACCGAGAUCACGGAAAGAGCUGCUUGCUGUGGCCGCUUUUGUGUCAAGGCCAGAAAGGUCAAGGAAAGGUCAUAGGAAGAUCCAUGAAGUAAAUGCCUGACCUGAGAAAUCCUCCUCCAACGUAGGACUUGUUUCUGGCUAGAGAGACAGGCAGGCCAGGAGGAUGGGUAUCAGCAAUAAAAUAUGUCCUUGGGGAAACACAAAGAACCCAUAUUUAAGUGCAGGCACCAGUAUGGCCCCUGUAGAGGGUAGACAUGGGGGGCACUGCAUGGCUUCACCCAGUGUCAUUCGGCCUCCCACCCCAGAGACCCAGGGUCAUGGGACUCGGCUUUCCCAGCCCAGGGUCCUACAGAUGCCCUAUCUGCUGCUUCAGGCUCACUGACAGAGCUGCCCCUGAGGCCUGCCCAGUGAGAGCCCAGGCAACCUCACUGUUGGGAGGACAGUCACGCUCUUCC